UUGAAGUGUUUAAGAGCAGAGUUUCCGGUCUAAAGCAUUACUUUUAUAUUAUCAACUGAUUUUCCCCUACCUCUUCGAUUGUUGGUAGAGAAAUUAUAUUUCAGGACUGGUGAUCUGUGAGUUUAGUAUUCCACCUAAUAGCUUAAGCUUUUAGAAAAGUUGGUACUUGAUUUUGGAAUAUGAUGCUACUUGAUCGAGCCAUCUAACCUAACUCUACACAUUGACUUAAAAGUUCAUUCACAAUUUGACAACUAAUAAACCAAUGUUAACACUGAAGGAAAGAAAAUUCUAAUGAAAGCACCUGUCUUUGAAUUCACUUUGAUCUAAAAUGUGCAGAAUAUAAAAUGGCAUAAUGCUUUACCAGUUACUAUAAUCAGGAUUAGGAGAUUUUACUUAUUAAGACCUUUAAUGCUAUAAAAGNN
rnacentral:lncRNA from 1 species